rnacentral:lncRNA from 1 species
CACACUUUCACAAUUCUGUUGUGAUUGUGUUUUUUGUGUUUCUUUUUGUGUUUGAGCCAAGCAAAGCCUUUAUGACUAGUCUUGGUAAUGGUUGUUUGAUCCCGCUGGAAAAAGAUAGAAAAUUUUCGCUCACGAGAUGAUUUUUCAUUUUUAUUCAGAAAGAGCUUUUGAGUUGAUUAUUUCUUCUGCUGAUUGAUAUGCUUUUUUCCCAUGCCGUCGUAAUUUGUCAGAUUUUUUGAGGUACCAGAAGUAUACGAAGUAUACAGAUUGCUACAGACUGGUCUAUUUUGGCAGAUUCUGUUUUUGUUGUGUUGGUUGCUUGUUUUGAUGAAACUAUGGUUAGUAUCGGGGGGUACUAGCCAUGGAAAAGUGAGAAUAAAGUAGCCCAUCAUCAAUAUAUAUGGAAUUCAAGUUUUCUACAGCACCAAAAGAAGUGGUAGUUUGUUUUCUUGUACUAAUGUUAUCACGAGUUUCUGUUUAAGUUUUUGGUUGUGAAGUUUUCAAGUUUUGGGUGAUGAUCUCAUGGACGAUGAGAUAAGGAGUGGAAAGAGAUCAAGCUUGGGGAUGCCCAAGGCAUCCCAACCCAAAUUCAAGGACACCAAAAAUCCUAAUCUUGG